GCCCCCGUAGCCCAAUGGAUAAGGCGUUCGCUUCCUAAGCGAAAGAUUGCGGGUUCGAGUCCCGCCGGAGGUA
rnacentral:ncRNA from 15 species